UUUCUCUAAUGUGAGCUGCUUCCUGUUGCUAAAACACUGCCCCUUCAAAUGAGAUUGUUUGCUAAGUGAGGCAUCUCCUUCCUCUUUCUUCCUUGGAUGAAUUAGCAAGCAAGAAGAGUCAGUCUGAGGCUCCUCACUGUGACGGACUGAGGAGCUUUAUUUACUCCCUGCGGAUAGUGGCCUGCCACCAGAGAGGCCACAGGCCGGAGUGAUGGAGCUGACUCAUAGGGUAAGGAGAAAGUGGCCUGGAUCGUUGACAGAGCACGUGAGGACACAAGAAGAAGGCAUCUGUUUACACACCAGGAGGAGAGACCUCACAAGAACCCAAUCAUGAUGGCACUUUGAUCUUAGACCGCCAGCCUCCAGAACAGUGAGAAAAUAAAUUUCUG
rnacentral:lncRNA from 10 species